rnacentral:rRNA from 16 species
GGUAUAGUCUAUGCCUUUGGAAACAAGGGAAAACAUGAACUCUGUGCCAGCAGCCGCGGUACUACAGAGGGAGCAAGCGUUAU